rnacentral:rRNA from 1 species
UACGGGGGGGGCAAGCGUUGUUCGGAAUUACUGGGCGUAAAGGGCUCGUAGGCGGCCAACUAAGUCAGACGUGAAAUCCCCAGGCUCAACCUGGGAACUGCAUCCGAUACUGCCAUGCUAGAGGAUUGGAGAGGUAGCUGGAAUUCUUGGUGUAGCAGUGAAAUGCGUAGAGAUCAAGAGGAACACUCGUGGCGAAAGCGAGCUACUGGACAAUUCCUGACGCUGAGGCUCGAAGGCUAGGGUAGCGAAAGGG